GGCCAGUUAGCUCAGUCAAUUGAGCGUAGCGCUAACAACGCUAAGGUCACGAAUUCGAUUCCCGUCCAGUCCC
rfam:Apaloderma vittatum contig93717, whole genome shotgun sequence.